ACAAAGGGUCUUUUAAGAACCAUAUCAUUAAUAAUAAAGGGAUAAUU
rfam:Salmo salar isolate Sally breed double haploid chromosome ssa11, whole genome shotgun sequence.